GGAACAAAAACUCUUAAAAUCCCAAAGUUUAAAUCUAUUUGAAUUUUUGGACAUUUGACUGGUGACUGGUGAGUGGUUUGUUGAAGAAGCCUUUCACGUAGCAAUUAAUGUUCAUAAACAUAAUUAAGCUAGGAAAAGAAAUAAUGUGUGGUGACUUCUCUGUAGUGGCAUUAUUAGAAGCUUAAAAUUAUCCUGAAACUUAAAAGUGAUUCUCAA
rnacentral:lncRNA from 1 species